GUCGGCGGAGAAUGCGCGGGUCGAGUGCUGUAGUUCGAUUUUUGCGUGUGUGCGUUGCUUGCGGCCUUUGUGCCUUUUUAUUCUUUGCUUACCUUUAUGAUAUAAAGACCUUAUUUCUUACAAGGAGGAAAAGACCGCUGACUUCAGAAACAGCGGGAACCCCAGCUCGUCCCCGGUAAUUCAAGAGGAAACGCUUGAGCAAUUACUGAUGUUGUAAACUGGGAUCAGAAGACAUACAUGGUAUCGUAUCCCAGGCAAGGCACAGUGGCUCACACCUGUAAUCCCAGCACUUUGGGAGGCUGAAGAAGGCAGAUCACUUGAGGUCAGGAGUUCGAGACCAGCCUGGCUUACAUGGUGAAACCCAUCUCUACUGAACAUACAAAAAUUAGCUGGACAUGAUGGUUAGCUGCACCUCUACUCCACGUGUUCCUCCCUUCAGGUCCCAGGCUGAUGGAGUAGCCUCUGUGUGUUUGGGAUGUUGUCAGUCAUAAUGGUGGACACAAAAGAGAUUAUGACAAACCGUGUAUUGUCUCCUACAAUUUCUGCUCACAGAAGUGGACAACAUCACUUCUUUCCACAUUUCAUUGACCAGAGCAAGUCAUGUGACCAAGCCUGAUUCAAAAUAGGCUGGAGCAAGGAGGAGCAGCAAACAUAACAUUCCCAGUUUACAGCUGAGGAAAUUAAGCUUCAAGUUGCCCAAGUUUAUAGAAUGAGUCAAUGGCAGAGGUUGAACUCAGAUGACAAAAUUGGGGUCUGGACGUGUGCAAGGACUUUUCCAAAGUCAGCUGGAAAGGAGCUGCUUAGCUGAGAGGUUCUGGCUCCAGAGUCUCCUGUGAAGUUGCAGUCAAGAUGUCUGCUGGGACCCCAGUCAUUUGAAGCCCUGUCUGGGGCAGGAGAAUCUAGGUCCAAAAUGGCCGUUGCAGGAGUCCUUAUCCACACCAUGUGGGACCUCUUCAUAGAUGUUCGAGUGUCCUCAUGGCAUGGCCACUGGCUUUCCCCAAACUUCAAACUAUGCAUAUGGGCCAGGCGCGGUAGCUCAUGCCUGUAAUCCCAACACUUUGGAAGGUCAAGGUGGGCAGAUCAUUUGAGGCCAGGAGUUUGAGACCAGCCUGGCCAACAUGGUGAAACUCCGUCUCUACUAAAAAAUACAAAAUAAUUAGCUGGGUGUCGUGGAGCAUACCUGUAAUCCCAGCUGCUCCGGAGGCUGAGGCACGAGAAUCGUCUGAACCCAGGUGAUUCUGCACUCUACUUGGGCUCUGUCUCAAAACAACAACAACAGCAACAACAAAAACUGUGGUAUUUUUAAUGAACUAAAUAUUAAUCUGCUAACACAGCAUAGGUUUUAUGAUUACUGCAAUUCAAAAGUCAUAAUAAAUUUUAAAACAAAUCCUCCUGUACCUGUUGUGGUGCAUGCAGAAACUUUUCCUGUUCAACACACUUAUAUGGCACUAUAUAGGGAUAUACCAAAUAGCUCAGGUACAUAGUGAAUACAACUUUAACACUUAUAUUGAAAUGCUAAUCUUACUUGCCAAUAUUAGUGGCACAUUAGCAUAAUUUAACUUUUAUAAAAUUAUGGAAAACAGUUUAAAAUUAUUCUCCCUAAUAUUAGCAAAUUGCAUUAAUGGCAUGUACCGUGUGCCAGUUUGUUUCCAAAUAAACAAAAUGUACCUUGAUAUGCCACUUCAGAGCCAGCAGAGGGAGCUCAUACUUUUUUAUUGUUUUCAACUUACUGAAGAAAAUUUGCUUUUAAAAGCUACUGUGUUAUAACCAAUGAGAACCAAGAAAAAGGAAAAAAAAAAAAAAGCUACUGGAUUCUGAAAAAUAAUGUAGUUGUUAUUUAAAUAAUAAAAAUGUAUUAGUAAACAAAAAAGUCAUACUUUAGGUUGAAAUAAUAAAUCAAUUCUAAAUAAAAAGAUAUUAAUGAUAUUUUAUGUAAAAAUGUCAAUUAAAACUACAUAAUUUCAAGGUUUUUUUUUUCUUUUUCUUUUAUUAUAAUUUUUUUAGAGACAAGAGUGUCGCUCUGUCACCCAGGCUGGAGUGCAGUGAUGUGAUCAUAGCUCACUGCAACCUCAAACUCCUGGGGUAAAGCAAUCCUCCUGCCUUAGCUUUCUAAGCAGCUAGGACUACAGAUGCAUUCCACUAUGCCUGGCUAAUUUUAAAAUUUUUUUGUAGAGACAGGGUCUUGCUAUGUUGCCCAGACUAGUCUCAAACUCCUGGCUUCAAACAAUCCUCCCACCUCAGUCUCCUGAGUUGGGGUUACAUGUGUGAGCCACUGCACUCAUCUGCACUCAGCUAUUCAAUUUAUUUUUCUAAUAGCCUUUACUAAAAAAAAGAAAUGUUUGUAACAGAGAUUUCUGGGGUAAACUAAAAUGGAAACCUUCCAGCUACAAGCAUAAAACGUAACAGAUAAAAAAUGACAAAUAUGACACACUUCAAAUUUAAUUCUUACACAUGAAAUUAAACACAUAAUUUAAAUACAUUCCCAUUCACUCAAUUCUCAGCCCUUCCAAAGACACAGAUAAAUGCCAUUAUUAGUUUCUUCUUCUUUUUUUUUUUCUUUUUUUAUUUUUUGAGACAGAGUUUUGCUCUUGUUGCUCAAGCUGGAGUGUAAUGGUGCAAUUUAGGCUUACUGCAGCCUCCAUCUCCUGGUUCAAGUGAUUCUCCUGCCUCAGCCUCCCGAGUAGCUGGGAUAACAGGUGUGCAUCACCAUGCCCAGCUAAUUUUUUGUAUUUUUAGUAGAAAUGGGGUUUCACCAUGUUAGCCAGGCUGGUCUCAAACUCCUGACCUCAAGUGAUCCACCCGCCUUGGCCUCCCAAAGUGCUGGGAUUACAGGCGUGAGCCACCACAUCCGGCCCAUUAUUGGUUUCUUAUGUAUCCUUUCAGAAUUUCUUUAUGAAUAUACAGACAUAUAUGAACAUAAAAUCUUAUUCUAAUCGAAUUUUUCUUAUGCAAAAACAGCAUAUCAUAUACACUAUUCUGUAUCCUGCUCUUUUUACUAAUAUAUAUUGGAAACAUUCGCGUAAGUCUAUAGUAGAGACCUUACUCCUUUUUUUUAGGCAUGUGUAGUGUAUAGCAGACAGAUUGUAAGAAUAUAUAAUAAUUGAUCUAUUCCCACUUAAUAAAUUUUUUUAGUUGUUUCCAUUUUCAAUUACAGAAAAUUCUCCAAUAAUGAACUUGUAUAUAUUUGCCAUUUUCUACAUGUGAAGUCUAUGUGUCUGAAGGAUAAAGUCCCAAAAGUGGGAUUGCUAGGUAAAAGGACAUAAGCAUUUGUAAUAAUGAUGGAUAUUGCCAAAUUACUUACUAUGAAAAUUAUAGCUACUUAUACUCCCUCAGGAGCAAUAUGUCUAUUUCCUCACGAUAUUGCCAACUGAGUCUUAUCUAACUUUUGAUGUUUGCCAGUCUGAUAGAUGAAAAAUGUGUCCUCUAAGUAUAAUGUACUAUUCUUAUUAUGAGUGAGUUGAACAUCUUUUGAAUAUGUCAAAGCCAUUUGUAUUUCCUUUCUGUUAACUUUCUGCUCAUAGUUUCUGCUCACUUUUGGGAUCCUUUCCUUGUUAAUUUGUAGAAGGCCUUUAUUGAGUAGGGAGAUUAGCCCUUUGUGAUAUGUGUUGCCACUUUGUUAAGUCAUUUGUCUUAUGUUUUUUAUUUGACAUGCAGAAGUUUUCAUAUAUACGUAGCCAAAUUUAUCAAUUUUGUUUAAUGCCUUUUAGAUUUGGGGUCAUAGAAAAGCCAUCCCCACCCCCAUAUUAUAAAGAACUCUCCCAUGUUUUCUUCUAGUAUUUUCUUGUUUUAUUAAAUUUUCAUUGAAAUAUUUAGAUUUGGACUUUAUUCACAAAUAAAGUACAGUGUGAGUUAAGGAUCCAAUUCUGUUUUUCCAAAUGGUUACCAAAAUGUUCCAGUACCACCUAUGUCAAAUAGUAAGUUUUCUUAUGCUUCUGAUUCUAUUUCUGUAGUUUUUACUGUAAUCAUUGGUGCUUAUAUAAUUUGUUUUAUUGCUCUGUAAUUCUGGGCCUUCUUCAUUGCUCUUCCUUUUCAGAGCUUUCCUGGCUAUUUGGCUGUUUAUUUUUCCAUAUAAGUUUUAGGAUCACACUGUGUACUGAAAACAAAGUUGAUAUUUGUUACUUGCUUUUUAUUAGUAUUUUAAAUAAAAUUUGUAAAAGUGUAUAUAUAUAUAAAAUACUAAUUCUUUUCGAUUUUUAAAUGUCUUUCAGAGGCAAUUUACAGUUGUUUAUAUACAUAUAUUGCAUUCUUUUUAGUUUUAUCUUUUUUGUUGCUAUUAUAAAUUGGAUUUUUAAAAUUACAUAUUAUAUUGUAAUAUGUAUAUAAGAAAGCUCUUUAUUUUCUACCUCACUACCCUACUGAAUUUUUCUAUUCUUAUCUUGGAUUUUCUAUGUACUAAUAGUAAUACUAAUAGUCAUAGUUUUAAAUUCUUUCCAAUUUUGUACCUCAAAUUUAUUUCUCUUGUAUUAUUUAUUUUUUCAGUAGCUAGAGUACAAUAAUAAUUAUAGCGAUGAGAGUUGGCAGACUUGUCUUGUCCCUGGCUUUAAUGAGAAAUGAUUGUAAAGUUUGAUCAUAAUUAUGAUGCUAACUUUUGGUCAGGGAUAAGUAUAAUUUUCAUUUUAAGGAAAUAUCAAUGGAUUUAUAUUUCAUUAAAAUUUUUUAAAUAAUAAGUAGUUGUUGAAUUUUGUCAAAUGCCUGUUCACCAUCUGUGGAAGUCAUUAUAUGAUUCAGGAUUAUAUGAUUUUUCAUUGUAUAUGUAUUAAUAUUAUAUGUACUAAUAAAGAUCUGUGAAAGUUGUCAGAAUCAAAAUGGGAGUUAUUUGUGUUAAAACCCUGACAAAUGGAGUCAGGGAAGGCCAUGAAGGGAGAGUUGUCAUGCAUGAAUGCCUGACAACAAGAACUAUCACAAAAGACUGCAAAAACCACAACCUUGCACAAAGGGCAUUGCAAUCUUACACACAAAAAAAUACUUCUGUGAGGUUG
rnacentral:lncRNA from 10 species